CUCGUGCUCGCCCCUCACACCGAGCUGCCCUGCUCUGUUCUCUCCCAGAACCGCGAAAUAUCCACAGUUUGAAGGGAUCCACAAGGAUCGGAGUCCCAACUCCUGGCUCCACACAGGACCACCCUAAAAUCAGACCCCAUGGCUGAGAGCGGUGUCCUAACGCUGCUCGAACUCCGUCAGUUGGAGCAGCCUGGGCAGCCUGUCCCAGUGCUCGAAAUAGCUGAAGAACCUCGGGCCGCUGAGGUUCUGCAGGCUGCCAGGCGUGCCGGUAGUACUGCUGCAUGCAGCGAGCUGUCGGAGCACAUGCUGAGCAGUUAAAAGAACGUGGAUCAUUGCGCUUACCUGUGAACUGAGCUUCCUGAAAGCAGAUUUUGCAUGUUUCAUGGGAUGCAAAAAGAUUGCUGAAUAGGAAGCAACUGGAUUUUCAACUGCACUUCAACACCUCCAUGAAGACAGGAACAUAAUUCCUCUCAUGCAGCUGCUCAAGAGAAUGACAUUUCUCUCUAAAGCAUGUUCAGAGGGAACGUGUGAAUGCAGAUGUCAGACUGCAGGAGCCAAGACUGGGAGUUGAACAGGUUAUGCCGACACCCUACAGUCAUUGCACGCUGGUGGAGCACAGGAUUCCCAUUGCACCACUGAGAUAUGCAGCAAGAACUCCUGGAGUAAGCAGGUGCCAGACUGCUUGUCUUUUUGCUGCACUUCAGUUUCUUUUCUGCUUAGAGAACCAACCAUGAACCUUUCCCAAGCAGUUCAAGACCCAGGAAGGUUACACUCUGAACUUGUUCAGAUGUUGCAGUAAAUUAUUCAGUGAAAGGGGAAUUACCUGAGAAGUUGGUAAACUGUGCUCAUCCAAAUGCACAAAUGUGAUUUCAGAUGUGAAAAUGACAAUGUUGUGCAAUUCCCCAGAGCAGCAGCACAUUUGGGCUCCAGUGGGUGAAGAGUUGCAGUGUUUAUAGAGUUGCGUGGUGAAGCCCAGCAGUGAGGCUGCAGCAGCUGGGACGUGUGAG